rnacentral:rRNA from 1 species
UGGGGAAUAUUGCACAAUGGGCGCAAGCCUGAUGCAGCCAUGCCGCGUGUGUGAAGAAGGCCUUCGGGUUGUAAAGCACUUUCAGCGAGGAGGAAGGUGGUGAGCUUAAUACGCUCAUCAAUUGACGUUACUCGCAGAAGAAGCACCGGCUAACUCCGUGCCAGCAGCCGCGGUAAUACGGAGGGUGCAAGCGUUAAUCGGAAUUACUGGGCGUAAAGCGCACGCAGGCGGUUUGUUAAGUCAGAUGUGAAAUCCCCGGGCUCAACCUGGGAACUGCAUUUGAAACUGGCAAGCUAGAGUCUCGUAGAGGGGGGUAGAAUUCCAGGUGUAGCGGUGAAAUGCGUAGAGAUCUGGAGGAACUACCGGUGGCGAAGGCGGCCCUCUGGACGAAGACUGACGCUCAGGUGCGAAAGGCGUGGGGAGCAAACAGAUUAGNUACCCUGGUAGUCCACGCUGUAAACGAUGUCGAUUUUGGAGGUUGUGCCCCUUGAGGCGUGGNUUCCGGAGCUAACG